rnacentral:rRNA from 1 species
CGCUGGCGGCGUGCCUAACACAUGCAAGUCGAGCGAAGUGAUUUAGAGUGAAAUUUUCGGAUGGAACAAAGAAUCAUCUUAGCGGCGAACGGGUGAGUAACGCGUGAGAAACCUGCCUUUCACAAAGGGAUAGCCUCGGGAAACUGGGAUUAAUACCUUAUGAUACUCUUAGAUCGCAUGAUCUGAAAGUUAAAGUGUAAAGCGGUGAAAGAUGGUCUCGCGUCCUAUUAGCUAGUUGGUGAGGUAACGGCUCACCAAGGCUGCGAUAGGUAGCCGGCCUGAGAGGGUGAACGGCCACACUGGAACUGAGACACGGUCCAGACUCCUACGGGAGGCAGCAGUGGGGAAUAUUGCACAAUGGAGGAAACUCUGAUGCAGCGACGCCGCGUGAAUGAUGAAGGCCUUCGGGUCGUAAAGUUCUGUCCUUGGGGAAGAUAAUGACGGUACCCAAGGAGGAAGCCCCGGCUAACUAC